rnacentral:lncRNA from 1 species
GAUUAACAAUGUGGGGCUGGCAUGUCAUAAUUAGCAGUGGGGGGACAGCAGCCUGCAUGACAGUUCUGCAUGGCAUGCUGUCCUUUUCUCUCCAGUGCAGUCCCCAUCUCACUUCUAAUGUGCAAAAGGAGAGAUUAUUCACCAGGGUGCUGAGAUACCAGGACACAGAAGAAAACAGGAAUACUCAUCUCUUACUGUCUACACAAACUCUCAUGAAAUGGCUCAAGCAGAGCUGAAAAUACAGUUUUGAGGUGUUGUGGCCUGGAUGUCUGAAAAGGUGGUCACAUUUUUGUCCUACCUGGAGUAGGUGUAGAAAAGAAGACAAAGAUUUGAAUCAUAAGGUCACUUUCGUAUGCAAGAAUCAAGGAAAUUUUAGAUAAAACACCCUUAAGUGAUUGAGGGGAGUACUAUACUAAGUGGGACUGGGAAAAGAAAAAGAACUUUUCAUUUCCCCGUUGGUUUUUUAACUCAGUUAAAGCUGAAUUGAGUUUAGACUUUAGCUGCAAUUUCAGACUAUCAGGAAGUUCAAUACACUUCAAAGAAAGGAAUAUAACUGAAAAAUGGGAAGACAUUUGUGUGAGGAAGGAAACCAACAUGUUUACUUCCCUCAGCAGAUUUUGUAAGUCUCUUGUAAGCUUCUGGUAAAUUAUUUGGAACUUGAAUGCUUCCUAGAGGGCAGCUUCAG